rnacentral:rRNA from 1 species
AGUGAACGCUGGCGGCGUGCUUAACACAUGCAAGUCGAGCGGUAAGGCCACUUCGGUGGUACACGAGCGGCGGACGGCUGAGUAACGCGUAGGAACAUACCCCAAACUGAGGGAUAACUGCUCGAAAGAGUAGCUAAUACCGCAUGUGAUCUUCGGAUUAAAGCUUCGGCGGUUUGGGAAUGGCCUGCGUAUGAUUAGCUUGUUGGUGAGGUAAUGGCUCACCAAGGCGACGAUCAUUAGCUGGUCUGGGAGGAUGAUCAGCCAGACUGGGACUGAGACACGGCCCAGACUCCUACGGGAGGCAGCAGUAGGGAAUUUUCCACAAUGGGCGAAAGCCUGAUGGAGCAACGCCGCGUGCAGGAUGAAGGCCUUCGGGUUGUAAACUGCUUUUAUAAGUGAAGAUUAUGACGGUAACUUAUGAAUAAGGAUCGGCUAACUCCGUGCCAGCAGCCGCCGUAA